UCCACAAGCUAUUGAGUCUGGCUGGGUAGCCGGACCCAAUGUUAUUGGGUUUUGCUGGGCUGUUGAACCCAAGUUUUCUUCUAAAAGCUGUUGGGU
rnacentral:pre_miRNA from 13 species